rnacentral:rRNA from 1 species
GACGAACGCUGGCGGCGUGCUUAACACAUGCAAGUCGAACGGAAAGGCCCUGCUUUUGUGGGGUGCUCGAGUGGCGAACGGGUGAGUAACACGUGAGUAACCUGCCCUUGACUUUGGGAUAACUUCAGGAAACUGGGGCUAAUACCGGAUAGGAGCUCCUGCUGCAUGGUGGGGGUUGGAAAGUUUCGGCGGUUGGGGAUGGACUCGCGGCUUAUCAGCUUGUUGGUGGGGUAGUGGCUUACCAAGGCUUUGACGGGUAGCCGGCCUGAGAGGGUGACCGGCCACAUUGGGACUGAGAUACGGACCAGACUCCUACGGGAGGCAGCAGUGGAGAAUAUUGCACAAUGGGCGGAAGCCUGAUGCGGCAACGCCGCGUGUGGGAUGAAGGCCUUCGGGUUGUAAACCGCUUGCGCCUGUGACGAAGCGUGAGUGACGGUAAUGGGUAAAGAAGCACCGGCUAACUACGUG